rnacentral:rRNA from 1 species
AGGGCAGCUACCCAGCAAUGGGAUGCGAAUCUCGAAAGCCUGUCUCAGUUCGGAUUGGAGGCUGAAACCCGCCUCCAUGAAGUUGGAUUCGCUAGUAAUCGCGCAUCAGCCAUGGCGCGGUGAAUACGUUCCCGGGCCUUGUACACACCGCCCGUCAAGCCAUGGGAGCCGGGGGUGCCUGAAGUUCGUGACCGCAAGGAGCGACCUAGGGCAAAACUGGUGACUGGGGCUAAGUCGUAACAAGGUAAC